rnacentral:rRNA from 1 species
CACACAGCUCAGUAACACGUGGCUAACCUGCCCUUGGGAUAGGAACACCCCCGGGAAACUGGGGCUAAUUCCCAAUAGGCGAAGAACUCUGGAAUGAGUCUUCACCAGAAAGGACCCCUACACUACGCUUGUAGGCUUCGCCCAAGGAUGGGGCCGCGACCGAUCAGGUUGUUGGCGAGGUAAUGGCUCACCAAGCCUUUUACCGGUGCGGGCCGUGGGAGCGGGAGCCCGGAGAUGGGCACUGAGACAAGGGCCCAGGCCCUACGGGGCGCAGCAGUCGCGAAAACUUUGCAAUAAGCGAAAGCUUGACAGGGCUAUCCCGAGUGCCAUCCGCUGAGGAAGGCUUUUACCCAGUCUAGAACGCUGGGGGAAUAAGGAGAGGGCAAGUCUGGUGUCAGCCGCCGCGGUAAUACCAGCUCUCCGAGUGGUGUGGAUGUUUAUUGGGCCUAAAGCAUCCGUAGCUGGCUAAGUUAGUCCCUUGUUAAAUCCACCGAAUUAAUCGUUGGAUUGCGGGGGAUACUGCUUGGCUAGGGGACGAGAGAGGCAGACGGUAUUUUCGGGGUAGGGGUGAAAUCCUAUAAUCCCGGGAAGACCACCAGUGGCGAAGGCUGUCUGCUAGAACGCGCCCGACGGUGAGGGAUGAAAGCUGGGGGAGCGAACCGGAUUAGAUACCCGGGUAGUCCCAGCUGUAAACGAUGCAGACUAGGUGUUUGGACGGCCACGUGCCGUUCUAGUGCCGCAGGGAAGCUGUU